AAGUGGCAUCUCAUUGUGAUUUUGAUUUGCAUCUCCCUGAUGGCUAAUCAUGUUGAAGAAUGAGGUCAUUUCAACCUCCAAGGAAAGGAAAAGCUUCUUUGUGAAUGACACAGUUUGCCAUGAUUUUUUGAAGGCAGGAAGUGGAAGAGAACCAGCAAAUGGGACAGAGGGAACAGCCAGAGAAGUAGAACAAAAUCCAGAAGAGUGGCACCCUUGAAGCAACUGAGGAGCAAACAACCAAUUUCAAUGCUGCUGAAAUACUGAACUGUGAGAAAAUAGCCGUCUGUUGUUUAAGCCCCCCAGUGUGGUAUGUUGUCAUGGCAACCUGAGCAGACUGAGACACCACCAUAACAUGACCCAUCCGAAGAGAUCUCUGAGAGGAUGCAUAAGGAAAUUUACCAGUUGGCCGUCAUCUGCCUGCGGGACCAGAG